rnacentral:lncRNA from 1 species
GUCUCUGUCUCUCUCUUUCUCCUCUGCUUCCCCUCACCCCACAACCAAAGUCAAGAGCGCAGACCCCAUGGUAAGGAUUCUCAUCUUCAUCCCACAGCCAGGACUUGGCAAUAUCUUUUAUCAAGGGUUUUAACAGGACAUUCGCAGUCUUUCUCCUAACCACACGGUUGGGGGCGGGGGUGCAAUGAAUGCUGGAAGCCCAAGGGCAGCGUUGGGACGGAGCUAGUCAAUGUGGCCUACGGACCCUCUGGGUGUCACAUGGCCACUAGGAAGCCCUUGAGCAAAAGCUCCGCAGCACCAAAGAUUCCUGUGCUCUUCUGGAUGCCCAGCCUCCCUUGUAUGAGGUUGGAGCCUCGACUUGCUGACUUCUGGCUAACGAAAUAAGCACAGUGAGAUAAGCUGCGUGAAGCAUGCCCCUUACAGACAGCCUGCAAGAUCCUUCAGCUCUUUCUUCCUCCACCACAGUGGCCUUAGAUGGCACAUAUACCAGAUGGUAGAGCUCUGAGACAGAGCCCGCUUGACCCACCUGUUAUUGGACUUCGAUGUCAGCAAGAAACAAAUGUUUGCGGUAACAUUAAGCCACUGAUGUGUCAAGGUUUGUCUGAGAUCACCUGAUACUUCCAAGCAAGCAGGUGUUCUUUUCAGAAGCCAGAAGCUGAUAACCUGGGCUUUCUGAUCUAACCCCAGCCCAAAUUCAUUGCAAUGGAGGAAUUGGGGAGGAGAUUCUUCCUACUGAGAAGUGGGUGCCAACUCUCCCUUUCAAAUUUGUUCAUCAACAAACUAAAGGGGAUGCCAGAAAUGUCUGGAGCAAUGGAAGAACCACUGGAAUAAUGCUCCUGCCUGAUUGUAUCUACUUAACCCACUCUCCAAGAGCCAGAAUCAGAUUUCAACCGUAUGGAAUCAUCUACAAUGCAGCAGAUGGGUUUACAAGUCUCUUGGUCUCUUCAUGAAGAAGGCGCAGCAAUCGUGUCCCAAGUCCUUGAGGACUUCACAGGGUGUUCUAGUGUCCUGAGAAUAUACCUGCCUAAGGAAUUUGGCUAUAGCUGGUAUUGGGUUCCUCAAACCAGCCCACCUGCGCUAUGGGAAUGUCAAAAUUGUCCUGGCAAGCUGAGGGGGCAUCCAGAGGUCACCCAGCUUUCCCCUGAAGCGUUGCUCAGAGGCCACUGUACCAUAAAAGGGAGUUCCCAUCCCACACUGGUUCUGAAAGCCCUGGUGUCCAGGCCCGUGUUGUGAUCUUUUCUCCUCUGCCUAGGGCGUAUCUGUUAGGGAGACUCCCAUGAGGGAGGGGAGCCGAGGGAAGAGGCUGAGUGAGGUGAAGAGAGUGUGUUUGUCCCUCCAGCUGUGCCAGGGUCUUCUCAGCCCUUCUCACAGAGGGCUGUCUGUGGACCUCUGUUCCUGGAAUCACCCCUCUGCACCACCCAAACUCCCUGAUUAUGAAUUACACAAUACAUCCCUAAUUC